GGCGAUCCUGCGGGCCGGCGGCGGCGGCGGCGGGGGCAGCCCCACCAGCUCCAGAGUCUGGUCCUGCCGCUGCCGCUUGCAUUUGUAGCGCCGGUUCUGGAACCAGAUCUUGACCUGCGUGGACGUGAGCUUCAGCACGCUGGCCAGCUGGUCGCGCUCGGGCGCCGACAGAUUGUACAAAUGCCUCUGUCAACUCUUACAGGAACUUGGACUUUACUCCAUUUCGAGCAAAAGAACCUUCGCAAUAAAUACUAUCGUCUGCUUCAAAACAUUAGGAACCAGAAGGAAAUGAGAUCUACAUGACUUCUGAGAAGAAACAAGCCAGUCGUAUAAAAAAAUAUACAACAGAGAUCAGUGAAGGGGUUCAAAUGAACAUCAUAAGCAAUUUGAUGCCUGGGGGAGAAAUACUGAGCUAAUAAAUACAAAUGACAAAUAUUUACAAUGGAAGCAACAUGGGACAUCAGUAGGCGAACACGUGACACCUUUACGCUGAGGAAGAUAUAAAGUGAAGCCUUUCACACAUCCAGCCCAGGGGCCCACGAACACACAACUGACCCCACAACGCGGGAGAAUGCCAUUGCUUCAGUCUUUGAGUGACAGCUGAGUCGGUGUGACAGAAGCCACAUGACCCACCACACUGGAGAUAGCGUAUUUACUGUCCGGAGUUUUACAGAAAAAGUUUGCUGACCACUGCUCCAGAAGGAGCUGGCCCAGAACACCCAUCUAUUCUUUGUAAUACUGGCCUUCUAUUUGAGUCCUGGCUGCAAGAAAGGACGAGCUUUAAUGUGAUAACCCAGUGGGGAAGGCCUAUCUAGGGAACAGUUUGAACAAGUCACAAGAACCCCACCGCUGACCCUUUAUGCUCUCCCUCCCUGCCUUGGAUUUUUACUUCUGUCCCUCCUCUGUCUUUUGUCCACUUUGGCUCCUUUCUUCGUUGCUAAAUUUCCAAUCUGGAUCUGGAGAAUCCUGUCCCUCACCUCCAUUUAUGUAAAAGGUCAGCAUUCCCCGCUGGGAAUCAUGGUCCUCCUCGUUCUUUUCUCCCCCUCUCCAUCCUGUAAACCCAGAAGCCACGUUUCCAACUUGGCCUCCCAGCUUCAGGUAUGGGGCUUUAUCGAUCUUGGCUGAGGGUCAAGGUGAGGUAACAGAAUGCUAAAGAAAAUCUGUCAAACGUACUCCUCGUGGGUGCAUUUUCCUCCAGGUGUGUGCUUUGUCCUGAGCGGCUAGAAGCCCACACCAGGCACUUAGAUGUACGGGUAUGUCCUUCUUUGAUUCCUUUUAAAAUAGCACUCAAAAGAAAAAUAAAAAACAGCCCCAAACGAUGGGCUAUAUUCCUUUUUUCCUUUGAGCUGGUUUUAACGACCCACUUGCUUUGUUUGAAAGCCAUUUAUUUAGACGACAGGUAUGUAGAUGUAACUGGAUAAAUAAAAAAGUGAAACCGAGAUUUGAAGCAGUGGUUAAUAUACAAACCACGGGGGCCAUUCCCUGGGACAUAGGCCCCCAACAGCACAAUGGCUCAGAAAUUACACACAGACCCCCCUUGCCCUCCCGGUCCCAAGCAGCUCCAAACCUCAAGGUCCCAUGCAAGAAACUGAAUUUCCGUUUGGCACCAGGCGCCCACAUGGCUGUCUCCUCUCCACCCUUCUGACUCCCCCGCUCGCUCGAUGUUCACAUUCACCCCUGCAUCGGAAUCCAUCCACCCCCUGCCAAGACAGCACCGGAAGCUGCGGGGCCGGGGGCCCAGCACCAAGUGCGAGGUCCAGCAGGCAGGCCUGCCGACCCCUGCCCUUCCCCGGCCCACCUCCCCCACAGCAGAGCAAACCGCAGGCCGCCACCCAGUGGCUCCACGGAUGGAAAGAGGACAAAAGUUGCAAGGAGGCCGCGUGGCGCGCUCACUUCAGGAUGUGCACGUGUGGAACCCCCAGGGCGGAGCCGGGACCUCGCUGCCGCCCAGGCCAUCUCCGCCUCACCUGUUCGUUCCGCUAGCACACGCCUUCAUCAAGUCUGCAAUCCCCACCAAAUCCUGCGUGUGACAUCCCCCCUCUUUAAUGGCAAAUGUUCUGGAAUGUCCAUAGAGAAGAAAAUGGACGGCAUGGAGGAAAGAUUUCCCGGCCAAGCCUUUCGCUUCACCUCCGGAUAUCAGAGUACUCAGACUGUUCUUCCUCCCACUCGCUGCUUCCAGAAGUUCCGGGGCCCCCAUGGCCGGCUGCUCUGCCCCGGGCAUGGGCGUUUGGGUGGCUUUUGCUACCUUUCUCGCCCUUGGCACCUCGGCCUGUCUCCCGACUACUGGGUUCUGAGAGGUGGUGACCUAUGUCUCCGUGGUGGGCCCUGGAGAGCUUGGCUCUGUCGGCCUGGAGCUGGUGCUCAGGGGGCGCUGUGGGGGGCCUCUGGAUGGCUGAGGUGCAGAAACUCAAGAUGGAGCACAGGCUUCCCCAGUUCUGCUCACACUGAGCCUGAACGCUGUGGGUGACGGCCUCCUUCACCUCCUCCCCACAGGUCAGCAGUAGAUUCACCAGGUCCAGGGGAGGAGAAGCCAUCAAAAUUGGGGCUGGGGAACUCCCCAUCACCCUCUUGCAACGUGGCGUCAGGUGGGGCCUGCUGGCUUUGCGCUUGGUGCCUUUCUCCCAGGAAUGUAUUCCUGAUGUAUAAACUGGUGGCCACGAUCCAUCCCGGAGGCCAGCAAACUAUCUAUAGUGGAUGACAGAGGACUGAGGACAAAGGAGCUUCAGGAGCCUCUCAGCCACGGGGCAUUUGCCUCUUCCAGAGACAACUUGGAGGAAGAGGACUUCACAGUGCUCUUCGUGUAAUGGAAUACUCAGAAGAUUGUUCAACUUGCUCAACUUGCUCUCCAUCCUACUCUACCUGUGUAGACACAGCUUAAGAGUGGAGAAGGAUUUCACCUCCCUGACAGCUCAGGAGAGAAGGACCCCAUGAGUGGAGUGGGGAGAGCCUGGCAUCCUACUGUACCCCAAGAAUGUCUCUUGCAAAUGCUAAAACACACCACGAAGGUCAGCUAAGGAAAUCUGUUCACGAGUCCUCACCGUGAGCAUUUCGAUCACGCCACGCCAACCUAAAACAUCUGCUCUAUGUGGUUUUUACCUGGGCAUCGAAUUUUCCAGCGUUGUGCAGAAAAGUCAUGCAGAUCCCAUGCUGGGAAAAGGGCCAGCCCCGUGCCCUGCACGCCGGGCUCUGCUCGGCAGCACGCCGGUGAGCCAAGAGCCGGUGGAGCAGUGGCGGCGCACAGUUCGGGCUGUGUCACCAUUUCGUCGCCUGCUGACCUGCCCUGGAGCGGGAGAAGCCGGCAGCACCUCAGAGAGUGUUGCAUCAUCUUUCAAGAAGAUAUAGAAGAAGAUGGAGGCCAGCAUCUUUGUUCCUUUCAUUGCAUCCAGUUGAGAAUUCAGAAUUUUUCAUUUCCUGAACAAAAUGGUAAAGAGGAGAAAACGGACAAAGGAAAAUGCUUCAUUGUAGCCGGACACAGCAGAAGAGACAGCAGUGCCACGGAUUCUAACGAUAAUAGUAAAAUUGCUGUAUAAGCAGCAUCCCAGACUCUGAGUCUUCCAAGAUAAGAAUCUGGGUGAAUUUUUGUCAGACUUCUGAAUCAAUGAAUAAACAAUAUCUUUCUGAGGACAAAGAGGAACUAUGAUAGUCUCCAGUUAGUCAUUCAUCAGGAAUGAUUUCAUCACCUGAUAUUUUGCCACAAGAACCUGGACCAUCCUGUUUUGCUGAAAGAACGGGGGCCAAUAUUCUCCUACCUCUUGUGGUGUUUGGUUACCAGAAUGUCCCUGAUACAGUUUGCAGGGGACAAACGAUGAAGUCAGAUGUGUUUACAGAGGCAAUCAAAAGGAAAUGGAUGAUACAGAAAUGGGGGGAAAAAGUUAUUGGUGUAGUUCUUGCUGCUGUUUAUACAUUUAAAAAUAAAAAUGUUUUGCAAAUGUGGAGAAAAGAAGAUGCACAUCUUCUCUUUAAGAAGCCAGUGAGCCAUCAGUGGUUUGCAAAGUAACUGAUUUUAUCAAGGGCCAGUGCAGGAAGGACCAGAAAAAACGAUAAGCUGAAACUUAUUGGAGAUGCACUGGAAAUCAGUAUUGAUAUGGUGGAUCUGUGCCCGGUGUGCAUGGCAGCUGCGCAUUUUGGGUUUAUAUACCUUCAAAGUCAGGAAGCAGAGAAUGGAAAUAUGUUGUAUUUAAACGGUUACAUUUUGAACAAAGUUUUAAACACAAUUCCUCUGUUAUUCUAAAAAUCACUCAUAAAAAUAAAAAGGCCCCAUUGGACUC